rnacentral:rRNA from 1 species
CCUACGGGAGGCAGCAGUGAGGAAUAUUGGUCAAUGGACGCAAGUCUGAACCAGCCAUGCCGCGUGCAGGAAGACGGCUCUAUGAGUUGUAAACUGCUUUUGUACGAGGGUAAACGCAGAUACGCGUAUCUGUCUGAAAGUAUCGUACGAAUAAGGAUCGGCUAACUCCGUGCCAGCAGGCGCGGUAAUACGGAGGAUUCAAGCGUUAUCCGGAUUUAUUGGGUUUAAAGGGUGCGUAGGCGGUCGGAUAAGUUAGAGGUGAAAGCCCGAGGCUCAACUUCGGACUUGCCUUUGAUACUGUUCGGCUAGAGAGUAGUUGCGGUAGGCGGAAUGUAUGGUGUAGCGGUGAAAUGCUUAGAGAUCAUACAGAACACCGAUUGCGAAGGCAGCUUGCCAGGCUACUUCUGACGUUGAGGCACGAAAGCGUGGGGAGCAAACAGGAUUAGAUACCCGUGUAGUC